CAAGAGCGUAUGUAAAAGUUGUUGCAGUUAAAAAGCUCGUAGUUGAACCUUGGGUUUGGUUGGCCGGUCCGCUUUUUUGCGAGUACUGGAUUCAACCGAGCCUUUCCUUCUGGCUAACCAGUCGUUUCGGCGGCUGGCGAACCAGGAUUUUUACUUUGAGAAAAUUAGAGUGUUCAAAGCAGGCAUUAGCUUGAAUAUAUUAGCAUGGAAUAAUAGUAUAGGACGUUAUGGUUCUAUUUUGUUGGUUUCUAGGACCAUCGUAAUGAUUAAUAGGGACGGUCGGGGGCAUCAGUAUUCAGUUGUCAGAGGUGAAAUUCUUGGAUUUACUGAAGACUAACUACUGCGAAAGCAUUUGCCAAGGACGUUUUCAUUAA
rnacentral:rRNA from 1 species